UACAGAGGGUGCAAGCGUUAAUCGGAAUUACUGGGCGUAAAGCGUGCGUAGACGGUUGCGUAAGUCAGAUGUGAAAGCCCCGGGCUCAACCUGGGAAUUGCAUUUGAGACUGCGUAGCUAGGGUGCGGAAGAGGGAAGCGGAAUUUCCGGUGUAGCGGUGAAAUGCGUAGAUAUCUGGAGGAACACCGGUGGCGAAGGCGGCAUCCUGGACCGGUAUUGACGCUGAGGCGCGAAAGCCAGGGGAGCAAACGGG
rnacentral:rRNA from 1 species